AUAGCUGAGUAGAAGGUCUCGCCUGGUUUAGCUUCACUGGAGAUAAAAUGUUUUUUAUCUGGUUUCUCUUCAAGUGUAGUAUUUAAGAUUCAUUAAAAUAUAUGUUUUUGUUUUCAUCUUCGUGGCAUAUCAGCUGUUUAUUAUUUUCCUCCAUUUCUGAGCACUUAAGACUCUCCGAAGGGCAAACUAGGAGAAAACUAGAGGCUGUUUUAACAUCCUGGGUGUAUAAAUAAUUUUCUAUCCAAUAGUUUACAGCUAAUUGGUAAAAUAAACUUCAUGUUUACAUUUAUUUGUACAGAUUUAUGGAAAAUAAAGUAAAACUGGAUGCUAUUUAAAAAAACUCCUGUGUGUUUCAGUUUGGGUUUUUAAGGGGCAAAAGGAGAAAUCUGCAGCCUGUCAGUGGAAAUCCAACUGGCUCCGGUCAUGAAGUGGAAGUAGAGCUAAAAUAGCAGACUAGCUGUUAUCUCUAAUGUUCUGUAUGGUUGUUUUUCUGGCUCUUUACCUAAAACCACAACUGUGAACUCAAAAUCCACAACAUGAACAAGUCUGCACAUAAAAAAAAUCAUUUAUCCUGCAAGUUAUUUAACAAAAGAGAAUCUUUAUUCAUUUACACAUAUUUCCUUUUUCACCUCCACAUUAGAAAUGCACACCAUGAUGACGUAAAGGAAGAACGGUGAGAAACACCUCAAUGUGACGCUUCAGUGAAAUCGGAGGCUUUUGGGUGACAUUACAGCUACAGACGGGAACAAAAGCCGGGAGUUAUAAGUAGUCUCACGCUAAUCUUGAAUACCCAGUGGUGACAGGAUGAUGAGAGAUAACAGGAAGAACACGCCUUCAGCCUCAACAUCCCUUCAUCCAACACCAUCCAUCAAACAUGACCCCCAAGAGGAGAACUAACUCGGAGGAAGUUCAACCUUCAGCGAGGCUCUGAAGUUUCCAUUUGAGGAGAUUCUAGAAGAAGCACACACAAGGAGUGGAAAAACACCGAAGGCCAGUGUCUGCGUCCGUCAUCUGCCAACCCUGCACUCUGGAGGCACCAGAUAAGACAAUGCUCUGCUGAUGAGUGUGUCUGCAUGUUAACUGCUGAACUCUUAAUUAAAUCCUGCAGUUGUACAACUGUCAGGCUGCUGGAAAACGUCCAUGCUGCACAUCUGCCAACCUGAAUCCAGUGAGGCUGUAUCUCCGAGGUUCAACGUCCACAUGGAGUCGCCGUGAAUCAGUGACAGCAAAGAAAACAGGACCUUGGUUUUCUUUUGAAGGUGAACAGUGGAGUAAAGACUUGUUUUGUUUCCCUCCCUCCCACCCAGGAUUUAAAAACACAUCUCGGCACACACGACUAGACUUGUAGUAAUACUCACUUAUUUAGAAAGGGUGGAGCUUAUUUAGCGGCCUGAUGAUAAUCUCUUGGAGCUCAGAUGCUCUGUAAACCUGCAACUUUUCAUUACAAAUGAGCAGAAAGCCAUGAGCAUCACUGACAGGCACAGGAAACAAUAAGAAAAGCUGAGAGUAAAUAACCUGAGUGUCACUAGAUUUGCUCCUGGGACAUCAUAACCUGUAGUUGAAACUUGUUUUUCAAUUAUUAACUCAGAAGCCUUUCUAGGAAACUAGAAGCAUCUCUUCCUCAAACAACAGCCAAAGAAAGUCAUUUUUAGCUCCCCCACCCCUAAGCUACUUCAUCCAACCCUUCUCCUCGCCUUAAAACACCACACAUCCAACUUACUUGACCUCCAUGGCUGUGGAUUAUUCCUCUCUGCUGUAAGUGUGGGGGAAAAAAUCAAAUGCUGUCAUCUAUUGCUUCUCAUGACCAGAUGAAGGGAGUGCAGAGCAGGAAAGCACAUGUGAGAGACCAGUUACAACAAUGCAGACUGGCUGUGGGUGGGAGUACAGUCCAAGGAAGGGCCAAUCAUAGGGGUUUCUGAAGCUGGAGGGGGUGUGGCUGGUUCUAACAAGUCCAGAGGUGCCACUAUUACUUGUUUUAUUUAAACAUAAUCAGACUACUGCUUUUUUGAAAAUAAUUAUUCCACCUAGCUUGGCCAGCUGUUUUUACCAAGAGGUUACUACAGUAUUUUUGUCAUAACAUGAAAAUAUAUGGUUAAUAUGUUGACAUAUGUAAUGCAUUACAUUUUCAAGGAAUUCAAUCAAAUCAAAUUAAAGAUACUUUAUUAAUUCCAGAGGGAAAUUAGAGUUUCAGUACACACAAUUCAGAGAUCAGACAUACAUGGACAAGACACAUGACAAGAAUUGGUGACUGUGGUCAUUCGCAACCCUGAGUCGCUCUACCUUAAUAGAGAUAAGAGGGUUACAUGAGGAUUGGUUCAGGUGGAGGGAAACAAAAGGCACUUCAGAGUUACCCUCCAUAGGGAGGGCAGCUUUGCUCUGCAAAAAAACACCCCAGUCAGAUAUGCAACAGACUUCAGACAACACACAACAUACGUGUCCACUAAGUGGGGUGGUGGGUUGGAACUAUCCCCACUUCAGUUCCUGCAGCCACGAUAGAAGCAGUUCAUGUCACCUCAGUGUGGAUAGGGGGAGGAGCAUUGAGGGUUGGAGGGUUGCAGUGACCCUGGAACGUUUCAAGCGCCCUUCCCACAGUCCCGCCCAGGCUGGGAAAGGAGACAGAGUUGAGUUGCCAUAGCGAUGGCACUGUAGCGUUAUGAGUAUGCUAUUGUCUGCCCUUAACAGCUGCCCUUUUCCACAGUGACAAAGCACACGACCUUGGCAAUUCAUGCACUUUGUCACUGUGGAAAAGGGCAGCUUACUCAUAACGCUACAGCACAUUCCACAUAUCUUCUGAGGGGGGAGUCGUCUUUGGAGCCUUGCAGGCUCAAGGACGCCAGAUUCCGAUUAGAAAUUGUUUUGGGGCCAAACAGAGAUAAUUUCCUCGCUGUCUUACAGUUUGUUCGUCCUCAACCUCUCAAAAUCCCAAUAAUGGACAUUAAUCUAUCCCAAUCCAUGCUGAUUCGUCCGCUCUACCCUUGAUGGCAUCCAUCUUUGUGCCAAUGAUAAAUCUCGGCCAAAGUUCCAAGCUUACGAUUCAUCUAAACAAUUAUGUGAGUCUGUGAAUUCACAGCGCGGUGCAAACCAUCUCUGAGGUCCGGGAUCAGGCCAAUAUUCCUUGACAGCUCGUUAAUUUUCUGGUAAGCCAGGUAGCCUCCAAUGCCGAUCAGCAGGAAACCCGACACCAACACCACGAAUAUCCACACGUCUUCGGAGUCCUCCACAGACGCUGGUCUGUCCCAGAGGGGCAUCUGGGAGCCCCUUCUCCCGUUCUCAUCUUUUCAUCGUAAAAUAUAUCAAAAGUUUAAACGCAACAACAGGAUGUCCUUCUAAAGUGCUACCCACGCACGUGAUCUACGGCACCCUUAAAGUGCAUGUCAAGUGUGCCUCAGAGUCUUACCCCACCCACGUAUCAAUUUUGAAAACUGCAACAUUAGUAGGCGUUGCCUGGAGGACCGAGAGGGCGGAGCCGUGGCAGUGACGAAGAGACGGCUAACUAGACGAAGCUAGCUCCCUUCACUCUGAGCAGUCAUUAGAAGUGGAGGACGUUUCUCCCCCUCCUUACCCAGACACUCGAGAAGAAAGGGACCAAGUCUAUUUGGAGGAGACAAGCGGACAUGAGCCUUAUUGUUUUGAGCUUGUGAGUUGCCUGAAAUUACUGGAACCGACCCAACAGACCCAUCUCUGAACGUGAUCCUCUGGUGUCUGCAGCUGGUCUCCUGCUGAUGUCGUCGGGAUCAGGAACUUCCAGAAGAAUGUGCCUUUCAAUGACUCUUUCCCCCUUAUUUGUUAUAUUAAUUAAAUAAAUCUCAAUUUA